rnacentral:tRNA from 1 species
GGUCAUGGUUUAGUGGUAGAACACAUCCUUGCCAAGGAUGAGACGAGAGUUCGAUUCUCUCUGGCCGCA